GCGGCAGGCCUAACACAUGCAAGUCGAACGGUAACAGGAAACAGCUUGCUGUUUCGCUGACGAGUGGCGGACGGGUGAGUAAUGUCUGGGAAACUGCCCGAUGGAGGGGGAUAACUACUGGAAACGGUAGCUAAUACCGCAUAACAUCGCAAGACCAAAGAGGGGGACCUUCGGGCCUCUUGCCAUCGGAUGUGCCCAGAUGGGAUUAGCUAGUAGGUGGGGUAACGGCUCACCUAGGCGACGAUCCCUAGCUGGUCUGAGAGGAUGACCAGCCACACUGGAACUGAGACACGGUCCAGACUCCUACGGGAGGCAGCAGUGGGGAAUAUUGCACAAUGGGCGCAAGCCUGAUGCAGCCAUGCCGCGUGUAUGAAGAAGGCCUUCGGGUUGUAAAGUACUUUCAGCGGGGAGGAAGGGAGUAAAGUUAAUACCUUUGCUCAUUGACGUUACCCGCAGAAGAAGCACCGGCUAACUCCGUGCCAGCAGCCGCGGUAAUACGGAGGGUGCAAGCGUUAAUCGGAAUUACUGGGCGUAAAGCGCACGCAGGCGGUUUGUUAAGUCAGAUGUGAAAUCCCCCGGGCUCAACCUGGGAACUGCAUCUGAUACUGGCAAGCUUGAGUCUCGUAGAGGGGGGUAGAAUUCCAGGUGUAGCGGUGAAAUGCGUAGAGAUCUGGAGGAAUACCGGUGGCGAAGGCGGCCCCCUGGACGAAGACUGACGCUCAGGUGCGAAAGCGUGGGGAGCAAACAGGACUAGAUACCCUGGUAGUCCACGCCGUAAACGAUGUCGACUUGGAGGUUGUGCCCUUGAGGCGUGGCUUCCGGAGCUAACGCGUUAAGUCGACCGCCUGGGGAGUACGGCCGCAAGGUUAAAACUCAAAUGAAUUGACGGGGGCCCGCACAAGCGGUGGAGCAUGUGGUUUAAUUCGAUGCAACGCGAAGAACCUUACCUGGUCUUGACAUCCACGGAAGUUUUCAGAGAUGAGAAUGUGCCUUCGGGAACCGUGAGACAGGUGCUGCAUGGCUGUCGUCAGCUCGUGUUGUGAAAUGUUGGGUUAAGUCCCGCAACGAGCGCAACCCUUAUCCUUUGUUGCCAGCGGUCCGGCCGGGAACUCAAAGGAGACUGCCAGUGAUAAACUGGAGGAAGGUGGGGAUGACGUCAAGUCAUCAUGGCCCUUACGACCAGGGCUACACACGUGCUACAAUGGCGCAUACAAAGAGAAGCGACCUCGCGAGAGCAAGCGGACCUCAUAAAGUGCGUCGUAGUCCGGAUUGGAGUCUGCAACUCGACUCCAUGAAGUCGGAAUCGCUAGUAAUCGUGGAUCAGAAUGCCACGGUGAAUACGUUCCCGGGCCUUGUACACACCGCCCGUCACACCAUGGGAGUGGGUUGCAAAAGAAGUAGGUAGCUUAACCUUCGGGAGGGCGCUUACCACUUUGUGAUUCAUGACUGG
rnacentral:rRNA from 1 species